rnacentral:rRNA from 1 species
AGGAUAAACGCUGGCGGCGUGCCUAACACAUGCAAGUCGAACGCGCUUUCGGGCUUCGGUGCGAGAGCGAGUGGCGGACGGGUGAGUAACACAUGGGUACCUACCUUGGAGUGAGGGAUACCGGCGAGAAAUCGCCGACAAUACCGCAUAGGCUUCUUCACAAGGGAAGCAAAGUGACGCGAGUCACGCUUUGAGAUGGGCCUGUGGCCGAUUAGCUGGCUGGUGGGGUAAUGGCUCACCAGGGCGAUGAUCGGUAGCUGGUCUGAGAGGACGAUCAGCCACACUGGGAUUGAGAACGGCCCAGACUCCUACGGGGGGCAGCAGUGAGGAAUUUUCCGCAAUGGGCGCAAGCCUGACGGAGCAACGCCGCGUGCAGGACGACGGCCUUCGGGUUGUAACUGCUUUCGUGGGGACGAGCAAGGACGGUACCCGAGGAACUCGACGCCCCGGCUAACCGUACGUCGCCAGCAGCCGC